AGUGCUGAAAGCAUCUAAGCACGAAACUUGCCCCGAGAUGAGUUCUCCCUGACUCCUUGAGAGUCCUGAAGGAACGUUGAAGACGACGACGUUGAUAGGCCGGGUGUGUAAGCGCAGCGAUGCGUUGAGCUAACCGGUACUAAUGAACCGUGAGGCUUAACCUUACAACGCCGAAGGUGUUU
rnacentral:rRNA from 1 species